UCACUGAAUGGUCCGCCAACCGACGGGCAAUGUGCGUUCUCCCCUGUGCCUGCCUUCCACCGCUUGUUUUAUCAAACCAUUCACCGGCUCACCAAAUCCUUAUUGCCUUGCCUUGGCGCACGAUUUGAAUCGCGCGGCUGAUGACACAACCUCUCUGUAACAGUGCUUUUCAACCUUUACUUACUGAUCGAAUUACACACAUGUCCGAGAUAUGAACCAUUUGAUACGGAAUUGUCGGUAAACGGAAAUUGAAAUCUACCGCGGAAAUGUAGUAACGUAAAAUGAGACUCUUCAUAUAGAAUAAAAAAUACGUUCGACGAUAAAUUUGACAAAAAGAAUAUAUAUACACUUUUAAAGCGAGAGACACUGCGAGGAUGGGGAAUUAUUUAAGAUAUAAAAUAAUAUUAAAUAGUGUUAAAAACUUUUAUUCUUUUAUGGAAUAAGAUUUUAUUUUUUGAUGAUUAUAUUUUGAAUAACUACGUGAGUCAUGAGACGCGAUGGAAAGCCUGUUUAAUAAUAUAAUAAAAGUAAUCUAGGGAUUUAGGAAACACAUUAAGGAACGCAAAAAUUAAUUUCCAAUAUAAUUAAUUUAUAAUUCUUUAUUCAUUUAUAAAGUAAAACGAAUAUACAUUUCUUUAUAAAUUUUGGUAUGACUUUCGUGGUGGCAGUUGAGAAUCGCGGGCACGGGUGAUGAAGCGUCUACGACGUUGAUUGGUCGAGAGGCUCCCUUCCGGUUUAGACUACCAUAACGAAAUAUUCAAGAUCGUAGAACAUUUUUAAACAAUUCGAACUUUUGUUUUCGUCGUGAAGCCUCGAUACCUCUCGGAAAGAGGAACAACGUUUGGAAAAUAUGUCUUGAGAACAGAACGAGGGUUCCGAGCGCCCUUGAAUUAGUCUAGCAUUGGCCGUAAUCGCGAUAGCAUGCGUAAAAUCGGUACGAUUUUAUACGCGUAUAAUUUUAUAAAGUGAAAUAGUGAGUAUUAUUUAAUCAAACGGGAUCUCCUGCGAUGUCCGGUACUUCCGGUGGAAUAUGAGAAGUCAAGGCCGUGACAGGGAUCGUUCGAGUUACCUCUUGGUGGAACGUUUCGUGAAAUACCUCAACCAUCUAACAGAAUAUCACUGCACGAAUUUCUCAAUUACAAUUGACCGAAGUUCAGAAACCGGGGGAUAACACACCUAGCUACACUGUUUCACCAUCGAAAUUAAUUUACGGGACGACGCCUGUAAGCGGAGGAUGCAAGAAGAAUGGUUAUUAAACUGCCAGAGUUUUGAGGUGCAUCAGUUCAUAAAUAUUAGGACGCUUACGGAAGCUUAAGGAAAGUUAAGGAAAGCUAUUAAGAAAUUAUCUAAUCUCCCGAGAAUUGGAGAUUAGAGAAGAAGAACGACGAGGUAAGACGAAACUGAGGGAGAAUGAAAUUGUAUUGGAGGCUCGGUCAUUGAGAAAAUCGAGUUUGAAAAUUUGUCAAGUGCACGAGAACUUGGUUGAUUCUCGACUAGGCCGAAAUGGAUCAUGAACAGAAGCUCGUUCUAUUCUCGAAAAUAAAUCAAGAACGUAGAACAAGUUUGAAUAACUUACAGCGAGUUAAAAUAAUCUUAGAAUAAUAAACUGAAAUUAUAGAAAUGCAUUCUGAAACCAAUAUCGAUCUAUAAAAUCUGUGAAAUCCAAUUCGGCAGAUUGGCUGCUCCAUUUAAAUCCCGUGUUUCUAAUCAUCUCGAUAGAAGUAUAAAUUCGCAUAAAUAUCUGCAGCGAAAUAAUUAUACGCGGUCCUAAUCCCGUCGUAGAAUCGAUAUAUUCGAAGCAAUCAGCUGAAAUCAUUCGAAACGACCAAGCUUCUGGUCUCGGCAACUUGCGAACGAAAGACAAAUUUUGAAGUAUCAGGCUUCGCGUAUGGUUGCCCAUCUGCCAUCCUUAUUGUUGGAAAGUUGCACGGCCAACAUCCAGCGCAUGUAACGAAGUUUCGGGUACAAGUGUACUACGGUUGCCAGAACAAAUAUUCGGUACAUGGCAGGUGCUGCGUUGUUUCGCAGCCAGAGACCAGGUCCCGUUAAAGAGCUUGUGGACAACAUCGGCCACGCUCUGGUUCCCGAGCUGCCCGCUCCAUUUCAGAUAGUUAGGAUUAUAUCCUGUAUUUAUUGCGCCGGUUCCAGUUGGACCGUAGUUGUUCCAAGUUAGCCAGCACAUCUUCCCUUUAAAUCGUAUAUUUGGAAAGCGGCUUAAUAAUCCUGCUGCCGCUUGUACUCGAUUCGAUACCCAACUGUUUGCUUAACUGCGCCAGAUUCUAAAACUUGCCAACGUUCUACCGAAAGAUCACAGACAGACAGACAGACAGAGGUAGGUUUUAUAGCGAACAAUCGGUGAAUUUUAAAUUGCGAGAUGUAAGAUCUUCUUUCUAAAUUAUCUUCGUUCCUUGUCAUCUGUUAGGACUAACAACAAGCGGAUAUUUUAUUUCGUCCUUAGGCUCAUAACACGUUUCAUUCGUUUUAGCGUAUUAGAAUCCAUUAAAUAAGCUCGUAGGUAAAUGUUGCGCGAGUUUCUCAAGGAAUAUUUUUCCUGAUGAUGAUGAGCUAAUCUAUGGUAUACUAGCCAGUGCAACCAAUAAUUUCUUUUUCCUUUAUGGUUGUUGUUCGAAGAUUCUACCUUGUUUCAUUGGCAUUUCACCUGGCUCUAUGACUAGACGUCAAAUUUUUCAUUGAGAUCUGUCCAAAGUUUCGAUGUUUGCCGGCGAAUUUAAGGAGUUAGAGCUAUGGGAGUUGCGAAUGAGAGAGGCGAAAGCAUGUACUCGUGUCUAACUGUAACUAACUGUGACUCGCAAUGAUCAGAGUCGAAGACCAGAGUUCCGUUUAUUUUCGAAUUAUUCUCGUGGCCAACAGAAGUUUCAUUCGCUUCGAAUUUGUUCGAGAGAUCAAAGUGCUCCAAGUUUCCUCUUGCAAAUGGCUAUUCUCUAGCUGGCUAGCCGUUCUAACGUAGAGAGAAAGAGAGAGAGGGAGAGAAAGAGAGAGAAGGAGAGAAAGCGAGAGAGAGAGAGAGAGAGAUUGACCAUGUUCAAGUUCGAGGUUCGUCGCGGCUCGUCGCGGCACGCAGUUAAUUAGCAAUUAUUCCGGGGCCGUGGCCUGGCGUCGCUAAUCGAGUUCCCAACUACGCGACUCGAUUCGACGCACUUAAACGUAGCGACGAUCUAUUCACCGGUUAUCGAGCCGAUCGGAAACCACUGUGGCUGACAGCCCGUUGUGCUGCCUUAGCUCUUUAGCUGGUAUCACUUUGUCGCAAAUGGCACGAACGCUGACACGUCGAUAGCCGGCCUAUCGUUUCGUCUUGUCACGAAACACAGUUACAGAGCAGAAUUCAGUCAACGUGAUAUAGCAGCAAUUUCGUGAUAAAAUACGAGCAUGUAUAUGUCAAAAAUAUCGUAUUCGUGUUCAGACUGGCUGAAAGACUAACGUGGACGAGAACGAAUGAAUUCUACGCUACAGUAGAAUUCGUCCUUAUUGGUACGAAAUUUUAGUUAAUGCCUGAUUAACUGAAUGCUGCUGAACGAUUCUGCCAAUCUAAAAAAAUACCAAGACAGAAAAACUGCAAUUACAUGAACUGCAGUCACGUAAACUGGGUUUUCCACCAACAAGUUCCAAAUUUAUUUUGUGGAAAAGACAUCGUUCCCGCUAGGAGCAUGUUCGGACAUAGUAAGAGUCUUCACAGGCUCGCCAUAAAAGUUGGACAUGUCGCGAAACAAACCAGGCGGUUACGGAGCAAAGUUCAGUUCAGAAUUUCACGAUUCGAAGACUUAAACGCGAUGAAAGAAGAAGAAGAAGCAACGAAUGAAUAAUAGACUGGCGAGCGUAUUUUUCAAAUUUAUUUUCUCAAAAGCACAGACCAUUGCCGCCAAAAACCGACUUGAACUUGGAAAAAGCGUUUUCGGCCUCGUCAUAGAAAUUGUGAAAUAUCCAUUUCCUCGCAUAGAUCGAAAAGAAAAUUUUUGAAAAAGAAAACGCUGUCAGAGGUUUAGAUAGAGUCGCACGACUCGGGUACGGGCAGAAACAGGGUUUAAUUAAACGCGACACGAGGAAGAGGUUUUAUUACGAAUUACCUGUGCACGCGUCGGUUCAUUGAUAGGGUAAGUGGACAGUCUCGUUUACGAUGGGGCUGGGUUUAUCCUCGGUGGCAGGAAGAUUACGAGCCGUCGUUUUAUUCGACUUUUCCAAGGGAUGGGUUCAUUGUCCCAGUCGCAUUCCGAUUUCGUCUCCUCGAACGACGACCUCGAAUGGUCUGCGAGGAUGGAACGUACGAGCAAAACAGAAAACGCGAUUACCCUCGGCGAAUGAACGCCGCAGCUGCCACAUAUUUGCCUCUUUCAACGUUUCCAACUUUUAUUUCCCCAAUUUCAUGCGAUAUCGUGCUGAAACGAAAAUUGCGCCACUAUUCUCUGUUCGCGGAACGAGUCUUUUUAUCGAGUGUCCAUAGAAAAAGAGGGGUCGAGUUUUAAAAACUGUUAAACUCGC